rnacentral:rRNA from 1 species
GCCAGACUCCUACGGGAGGCAGCAGUGAGGAAUAUUGGUCAAUGGGCGAGAGCCUGAACCAGCCAAGUCGCGUGAGGGAGUACUGCCCUAUGGGUUGUAAAUCCCUUUUGUCGGGGAGCAAAAGCCGGACGUGUCCGGCUGUGAGAGUACCCGAAGAAAAAGCAUCGGCUAACUCCGUGCCAGCAGCCGCGGUAAUACGGAGGAUGCGAGCGUUAUCCGGAUUUAUUGGGUUUAAAGGGUGCGCAGGCGGAUUUUUAAGUCAGCGGUCAAAUCGUGGGGCUCAACCCCAUCCAGCCGUUGAAACUGGCUUGCUAGAGUGGGCGAGAAGUAUGCGGAAUGCGUGGUGUAGCGGUGAAAUGCAUAGAUAUCACGCAGAACUCCGAUUGCGAAGGCAGCAUACCGGCGCCCAACUGACGCUCAGGCACGAAAGCGUGGGUAUCGAACAGGAUUAGAUACCCGAGUA